rnacentral:misc_RNA from 1 species
UGAUAGCUAUUUGUAUAAGAAAUUAGCUAGUGGGAAUAGGUGGGAAGAUGCUAAAAUGGCGAUGAACACAAUUUCAAGUUUGGUUAGGUGUAACAUUAUGGGGAGAGAAGUGGAAGCAUCUGCACAAAAAAUUCUCUCAAGAGUAUAGGUUAGUGGUCAAAUAUUUCAAUUUGGUUUAUGUUUAUUAUGUCACUAGUGAAUUUGGUGCGCUUCCUGCGGUUUUUUUGAAAGAAUUGUUAAAGAA